rnacentral:misc_RNA from 1 species
AAAACCAUCUCAACUUUCAUUUUUUUGCACAAUAAAAUCCCUUCAACUCCCAAUAGCCAGUUUACACGUAAUUUGUUUGCAUGACUUUCUAGCGUGGCAUCUAUUAUCUCACUCUUCCUAGCAUUGAGUAAAUUUCAUGAAUCUCUCUCUCUAAUCGAAAUAUUUUGAAUCAUCUCUCCUUCAUGCAUGGACCUUUCUCUCUUGAUUUUUCUCUCUAAUAAACUAAAUCUUUUCUCCCUCAAUCCUCACUAAACAAUCAAAGAAAAAUCUCAAAAUCCUAUCUCAAAAUCAAUGCAAUACAAAAUUUGCAAAUUGAAAAAUCAUAAAUCAAAACCUUAAUUGCAUUU